GGUCUCGUAGUUCAGUUGGAUAGAAUGUUGGUUUCCUAAACCGAAGGUCGCAGGUUCGAAUCCUGCCGAGACCACCA
rnacentral:tRNA from 2 species